rnacentral:misc_RNA from 1 species
UCCUCGUUACAACUUGCAGCUGCAUACCUAAAUUUAUUGUUUGAUAAUGAUAUGCAGAUCACUCCUCGUAUAGACACUCGUUUAUUAUUCUCCUCAAGUUGAAGUGGCAUAUUGCGCUUCCAUAGUUACCUGCUUGCCGCUAACGUAGGCCAUUCAGCAUUUGGCAUAAACUCAUGCCAAUUAGUGCCAACGAGAAUUAGAAUACUUCUGAAUAGAAACUAAAAGCUAAUUUGUCCCUCGGUCCAUUAUUUGUUCUGCUUAACCGUUAUUUCAACUCAGAGGAACAAGAGAUCAGAAUGGGCAUCUACAGGGUUCAAUUCCCCAAGUCUUCUCUGCAUAUUCUUCAAUUGUUCUGUCACUGCUAAAUCUUCCAGACCCAGCCAUGCUAAGAAUGCUCAUUUGAGUCCACUUCUCCUGAUCAACAAAUGCCAUAUCAGCAGCGGCCUGUGCUUCUAGAUAGCUCUCAAAAUCAGAACCAAGGAGGUAGAAGUCAUUGCCAACCUCCACGCUGUCACACAAUGAUUUAAAAUAGUCUUCAAAGCCAAAGUAGCCAUUUCGAACCAUCCUUACAACACGAGCAAAUUGAAGAGGUACUUUAAGAGCAGGUCCUUUCUCGCGCAAAACUGGAACUUCAUUUACUUUUGCACCAAACAAAAACAUGUUAUCUGCACCUAUCUCUUCUAUAAUUUCAAUGGUUGAACCAUCUGCAGUAGCUAGAAGUAAACAUCCAUUCAUCAAAAACUUCAUGCUGCCAGUUCCCGACGCCUCAUGUCCAGCAGUGCUUAUGUGUUGUGAUAGGUCAGCCCCCGGUAUUACCAACUCAGCAACAGAGACAUUGUAAUCAGGGAUAAAAACCAGCUUCAAAAGAUCAUCAACAUCUGGGUCAUUGUUAAUUUUUUCUGCUACAGCAUGACAAAGUUUGAUAAUCUUCUUUGCAAUUUCAUAACCAGGAGCAGCUUUUCCUCCAAUUAUGCAAACACGAGGGACAACAUUUCUCCUGUCAUUCUUCUCCAUGUUCUUAAUGCAAUCAUAUCUGUGAAUGAUGCCAAGUAUAUUGAGAAACUGUCUUUUGUACUCGUGUAUUCGCUUUAUCUGCACAUCAAACAUUGCAUCCACACUGACCUUGACCCCGCUCAUUGUUUCAAUAUAUUCUGCAAGCCUCAUUUUGUUAACCUUCCUCACCAUCUUCCAUUCUUGAUGUAAAUCAGCAUUUGUGGCAUACUCUUGCAAGCCUGCUAAUAGGUCCAAAUUGCGAAUCCAAGCUUCUGUCCCAAGCCAUUUUGAGAUAAGCGCACAUAAACUUGGGUUGCUGACAACAAUCCAGCGACGCUGGGUUACUCCAUUAGUCUUGUAAUGAAAUUUGUGAGGCCACAGCUCAUAGAAGUCCUUGAAAACUCUUGUUUUUAACAACUCCGCGUGUAUUUUAGAAACACCAUUCACAGUGUGAGAACAGACAAUUGAUAGAUUUGCCAUCCGAAUACUCUUCGCAGCACCUUCCUCAACAAUUGACAUCC